rnacentral:rRNA from 1 species
UACAGAGGAUGCAAGCGUUAUCCGGAAUGAUUGGGCGUAAAGCGUCCGUAGGUGGCUUUUUAAGUCCGCCGUCAAAUCCCAGGGCUCAACUCUGGACAGGCGGUGGAAACUACCAAGCUGGAGUACGGUAGGGGCAGAGGGAAUUUCCGGUGGAGCGGUGAAAUGCGUAGAGAUCGGGAGGAACACCUGUGGCGAAAGCGGCGCACUGGACCAUAACUGACGCUGAGGCGCGAAAGCUAGGGGAGCAAACAGG